UUAUGGCCAUAUCACAUUGAAACACUGGUUCCCCAUAGGAUCACUGAAGUUAAGGAAUGUUGAGCCUGGCCAGUACUUAGAUGAGGGACCACUUGGAAAUGCCAGAUGCUGUGA